CCCCCCCCCCCCCUUUAAAAAACCCUGCUGAAGAAGACUGUUAGGUCGAAACGCGUGUAGGGUUGCCUUUCCUAUACUCAAUUUCGAUCUCUCACUCUUAUAUCCUCACCUUUUAUGGCGUCCCAUAAAAAUUUCACCUACUUUAGUUUCUAUAUAUAAUCGUUGUUUCCCUAGUUUUUUUACGUACAUGUUCAUCAUAGGAGUCGGAGUAAAGAAAUGAAGAACAAUCAUUUUUUGAAUACUGGUCCUCUCAUUAUUUAGGCUACACGAUGUACACCAGUACUUGUCCAAUUACCUAUUAUAUACCAAAAAAGUAAAAACAAAAAACUAAAAAAUGUAUAUACAUGCAUAAAAAAAAUAUCGUGCAAGUCCUCUGACUGACAAAAAAAAAUCGAACAGUGUCAGGAGGCGGAAAAAAAAAAUCGAGCAAACUGAAAAUCUACCCACCCCCCCAUCAAAAAUCAAAUGGUCCGUCCCUUACUGUAGACGCACUGUAAUAAUUCAUAAACCUUGUGGCAAAUCAUGUCAGCCAUAAUAUGUCACGUGGAGUGACUUUAUAUAUCUGAUAAAACAUGUGGCAUUAUAAUUGUUCAUCCUCAUUAGUAUGAUUAUAUAAUGGUUCAUCCUAAUUAGUAUUCUUCUGCAGUCGUGUUUUAAGCUAUUUAAAACAUGAGUAAGGAGUGUUGUAAAUAGUACAAAAAUCCCUUUGCAUUAAUUCACCGCUCUACUUGAAAUCAUUUGCUUCUACAGUAGAUGGUAGCAUGCAGCCAAGGACCCCCACUAAGACCAGUAUACUGUAUAUAAUCAUCUCUCUUUAUUUCUUUGUAUAAGUAAUUUUCCAAGUACUAUCACUCAUUGACAAUGUAGUCAUUGUAGCGUGCAAUUACAAGUAUGCGUAGGCGAUGAAAAUUGAAAGAGUCGAAGAGCCUUGUUUGUACUGAAAUCUGCAAAGGUUAUUUGUAAAAUUUCACUUUGUUCAUAUUUAACUGUACAGAAUUAUGUGCAUAAUCUUGCAAUGCUUAACGCAGUAGUAAGGUCUGCUGUUAUCAAGUUGUAACAAGGGUGAUAAUGGACCGGUGAUAAAGUAACUGCU